rnacentral:rRNA from 1 species
UACGGAGGGUGCAAGCGUUAUCCGGAAUUACUGGGUUUAAAGGGUGCGUAGGCGGCCAGGUAAGUCAGGAGUGAAAGUUUGCGGCUCAACCGUAAAAUUGCUUUUGAUACUGCCAGGCUAGAAUUAGGAUGAGGUCAGCGGAAUGUGGCAUGUAGCGGUGAAAUGCAUAGAUAUGCCAUAGAACACCAAUUGCGAAGGCAGCUGGCUAGACCUGGAUUGACGCUGAGGCACGAAAGCGUGGGGAGCGAACAGG